GACGAACGCUGGCGGCGUGCCUAAUACAUGCAAGUUGAGCGCUGAAGGUUGGUACUUGUACCCACUGGAUGAGCAGCGAACGGGUGAGUAACGCGUGGGGAAUCUGCCUUUGAGCGGGGGACAACAUUUGGAAACGAAUGCUAAUACCGCAUAAAAACUUUAAACACAAGUUUUAAGUUUGAAAGAUGCAAUUGCAUCACUCAAAGAUGAUCCCGCGUUGUAUUAGCUAGUUGGUGAGGUAAAGGCUCACCAAGGCGAUGAUACAUAGCCGACCUGAGAGGGUGAUCGGCCAAAUUGGGACUGGGACACGGCCCAAACUCCUACGGGAGGCAGCAGGAGGGGAUCUUCGGCAAUGGACGAAAGUCUGAACAAGCAACGCCGCGUGAGUGAAGAAGGUUUUCGGGUCGUAAAACUCUGUUGGUAGAGAAGAACGUUGGUGAGAGUGGAAAGCUCAUCAAGUGACGGUAACUACCCAGAAAGGGACGGCUAACUACGUG
rnacentral:rRNA from 1 species